AGGUCCGUAGCUCAGUUGGUAGAGCAGUUGACUCUUAAUCAUCUGGUCGCGGGUUCGAAUCCCACCGGGCCUA
rnacentral:tRNA from 1 species